UAUUUUUCAUUCCCCUUCAACAUCACCCCUCUUUUCGUCUCCAUAAACAAUUCCUUUCAAGGUUCAUUUACUACUCCCCCUUCUUUUUCAUUUCCUCUUCCAGUUUCCUCUUCUUUUUUUUUUCUUGUUUUUACUUUAAAUCAUCAUAAUCGGAAGAAAAUGGGAGCAAUAGGAAUUUUGCGGUUUCUUGUACUUGUUCAAGUCGUCAACUUUGUUGAUGGUUUUCCAUGGAAUCUUCAUCAUAGUCAUCAUCCCCAUCGUGGAUCUCAUGGACCAUGGAUCAAUGCUCAUGCCACUUUUUAUGGUGGUUCAAAUUUCCUUUGAGGGACCUUAAAAAGAAAAUAAUAAAUAAGGAAGAGUUUAUGAACUAA